rnacentral:rRNA from 1 species
UACAGAGGUCUCAAGCGUUGUCCGGAAUUACUGGGCGUAAAGGGCGCGUAGGCGGCCUGUUAAGUCGAACGUGAAAUCCCCGGGCUCAACCCGGGAACUGCGUCCGAUACUGGCAGGCUUGAAUCCGGGAGAGGGAUGCGGAAUUCCAGGUGUAGCGGUGAAAUGCGUAGAUAUCUGGAGGAACACCGGUGGCGAAGGCGGCAUCCUGGACCGGCAUUGACGCUGAGGCGCGAAAGCCAGGGGAGCAAACGGG